GUGGGGAAUAUUGGACAAUGGGCGAAAGCCUGAUCCAGCCAUGCCGCGUGUGUGAAGAAGGUCUUCGGAUUGUAAAGCACUUUAAGUUGGGAGGAAGGGCAGUAAGUUAAUACCUUGCUGUUUUGACGUUACCAACAGAAUAAGCACCGGCUAACUUCGUGCCAGCAGCCGCGGUAAUACGAAGGGUGCAAGCGUUAAUCGGAAUUACUGUGCGUAAAGCGCGCGUAGGUGGUUAAGCAAGUUGGAGGUGAAAUCCCCGGGCUCAACCUGGGAACUGCCUCAAAACCUGCAUGACUAGAGUACGGUAGAGGGUAGUGGAAUUUCCUGUGUAGCGGUGAAAUGCGUAGAUAUAGGAAGGAACACCAGUGGCGAAGGCGACUACCUGGACUGAUACUGACACUGAGGUGCGAAAGCGUGGGGAGCAAACAGGAUUAGAAACCCCGGUAGUCC
rnacentral:rRNA from 1 species